GUGUGUGUGUGUGUGUAUAUACUGGCGUGUAUAAGUGAAUUAUGACUUUUUACAUUAGUAUUUCAGGUCAAUUUUCACCAAACAAGAACUCAGGUUGUCCUUCAUUAAGGACUCAAAGCAUUGUGGGCUUUGAGAAUGUUAGUUAAGUAGUCACUAAAAUAUUUGUUCUUUCAGUCUCCCUGGUGUCUUCAAGUUAACCUUUCUAUUUAAACAACUGUAGCUUUUCACACAUGAGAGAUUUGCAAACAUAUUAUCCCAGCCUGUGUCUUGAUUUUUCUUUUUCUCUUAAAAAAAUAAGAACACUUUCAUUGUGUUCUGGUUAUUAAUUUUAUGGCAACUUGAAUGAGUUAAGAGAUACCCAGGUAGUCUCUAAAACACUGUUCAGGCAUAUGCCCAGCACCAUAUUUCCAGGAGAGAUUACAUCUGUAUACAUGUAUGAAGAUGUUCCCACUGCAAUGUGGUGAGCACCUUCCAUCCAUUCAGUUUGGAUCUAAUAAAAAGGCAGAAUGGGAGAGAACUACUCUUUCUUUUUUAUUAUGGCCAUCUCUUUCUGUCUUGGACACAUAAACUUGUGGUUCUUGGGUCUUAGGACUGAGACAGAGCAAUGCAGUUGUGGUAUAGGCUUCCUGGUAUUUCAGCCUUUAAGCUUGGGCUGGAUAAUAUUACCGUCUUCCCAGGCACUUCAGUUUAUAGGUAGCACCCAUGGGUAUCUCACGGAUAAGAACAGGGACUAGAAACUGACUAGGCAGUGUUAGAAGACCCCAAAGGUAAAGAGUUCUUACUUGGCCAAAAACUGGAUAUCUGGAUAUUUCCCUAGCCCAGUUGCCAGUUCAGUCCUUGCGGAAGUCUGUUCUGUUGUUGUUGUUGUUAUUUCUUGUCCCUAAAUGAACACCCCUCCUUGGAACCUAUGAUACAGGUCCUGCCUUAGUCCAUGAGGGAUCACCUGGACCAACCUACUCAUCUGUCUCCUGUGUCUCACCUGUUUGUUAAAACGGCAACAUGAAAUAGUACUCUUUUCUUUCUUCUGUUGUCGAAUAUUUUCACAUAUAAAAGCUAGUCUAUUCUGAAUGUCAGUGACUUAUAGAACAAGAACUAUAUUUUUAAAGUUAGUCCUUUGUAGUUCCCUUUCAAGACUGAACUUACAGCGAGAAGAAAAUAGUGUUGUUGGCGUUAGCGUUGUGCGGUAAAACAGAGCUCACGCUGAGCUCACUACUCAAGGCACAGUACCCUACAUUUGUGUUUAACUGCCUUCUCCCUUUCGGUAGUAGCAAUUUGGAAAGAGGCAUCACCAGCCAAAUACCCUUUUCUCUCACUUUAAAAGAAACAAACAGGAACCACCCUUGGACUAGAAAUAGAAGCACACAUCUACAUUGCAAAACAUGCCCUGAAGGGGCAUCUUUUGGUGCCCUUAGCAAAUGCUUGUUUUGAAUGCCAAAAGUAACAUCAAAGGUAAUUUUCAAGUUCGUAUAUUUAGCCCAUUUAACUGCCCGCUACCCCUGUUUCUGCUUAGAGUCAUUUAUGCCCUAAUCUUCCAUGUUAUUGGCACCUGCUUCUUGGGCUAUCUCUCUUCCACACAAUUAGUAUUCAUUAUCGUCUAUACUGCUCUCUGUAAUAUUCUUACCGCAAGUCAAUGUGGGAGAGAUAAAGUGUGUUUGUGUCAAAAACGCUAGUAAGUACUGAGGGUGUUAAGCCUGAUUUUCUUCACCUGUGAGAAGAGGCAUUAGAUCACAACUGAGCCAUAUUCUGAUUCUAAGGACCAAGACUGAUCUUAGGCAGGAAGAAACAGAACUUUAAUCUCUUUCAUGGGACCUGCUACCCUGUGUCCAGUCUGUUGUGAAUCUUGUUGGCUCUCUGACCCAAGGCCUACCUGGUUUGCUUGUAUGUAUCAUAUCCCCAGAACUGAUGUCUGCCUUGUGUGCAUAGCUCUCCUGUGUGCUGGGGAGUGGAAGUCUGAGCAGCUGUCUGAGGACAUUAUUGUCUUCCAGGGACUCUUGAUCUCUGAGAAACUUUUGUCCUGUGACUUAAUUUACUAUCUUGACCUUCACUUUUUAUAUUCAAGUGCUUACACAACUGUUCUGUUAGUAGUUAUUGGUCACUGGUUAGUAUAUCUACAUGUGGGGAGUAGCCACACCCCUUCCUCCUGCCUUUCCCCAAGGGUUAAGCUCCAGAUCUGGUCCAUUCACCUUCCCAACUCAUGGUUCAAAGUUCCUUUUGCAGUGGGCUCUGGAGGAGGAUUCUGUUCAGAAGACAUGCUGUUUUCAUUAUUAUCUGUAAAAAUGACCCAUAUUUUUGCCUGUUAUCUACUCCAAUGGGGCAUACAUUUUUAUUUAUCUAUUUUUACAGUUGUGCUAUUGAAAUCAGUACAGCCCCUAAACUGGUCUUUCUCGUCAAAGACAUUGUGGAAUAUUGUUGAAUUUUGUUUACAUAUUUUAAUUUUGUUAGAGAAAGCUUGGCAUAAUUGUAGUGCUAAUAGUUCUUGAAAUGUAGAUUGACUAUGGUAUGUACACUUAAGAUCUAAUCUGGUUUUCUCUAGCACUGGAGCCCAGAAAAAUCUCAUUUUGUUUUGUCUAAUUCUCAUAGCUUUGAUCAUGUAAAGUCAGAAAUUAUAUGAUGAUUUUCUUCUGUGGGAAGUUAGAAAAACAAACAAAUAAAUGAAAUAGAAAUAUUAAAGUUAAAUUGGAAUAUGAUCAUAGGGAGAGGAUAACUUAGGAUAAUUCCUUAGAACAUGAAGAAGUUAACAACAAAAUAAUCGAACAAGCUCCAAACCUGCAUAUUCAUGUCUGAUCUUGAAACUCUCUUCAGAUCUCCAACUCUGUUGAGCUUGGCUGACUGCAGUCCACUUCUUUCUCUUGAGCUGCUUCCACUCUCCUGUAGCAGCUCUCUUUGACAGGUACCCCGUGGCUCUAGCAUCUCCAACAUCUUUUGUUUUCCAAGGCAAUCCAGGUUCAACUUUACAACUUCAUGCAAUGGCCUUUCUAGGCCUCCAAUCAGGAACACCCCUGUCAUGCCUGGCUUCAGCAGCUUUUUCCCAUAACUUCUCUCUCUCUCUCUCUCUCUCUCUCUCUCUCUCUCUCUCUCUCUCUCUCCAUGUCUCCCUCUCCAUCUCUCUCUCCCUCCCUCAUUCCCCCUUUCUUUCUUUCUCUUCCUAAGUUUGGCUGUCCUGAAACUUGCUCUGUAGACCAGGUAGUCCUCAAAAUCAGAGAUCUGCCCCCUCUGCCUCCGGAGUACAGAGAUUAAAGGUGUGCAUCACUACCACUUGCUUUAAGCUUUCUUUAAUUCCUUUUUGCAAAUUGAAAACUUAGUUGGAUAAGAUCUUGUCUUGUGAUCACCACUCCCUUUAUUCCGUUUCUUAAUCUGAUUAUCUUCUCAAACACAGAAGAGAGAGGAAGAGAGAGGGAGGCAGGGAGGGAGGGAGGGAGAGAGGAAGAAAGGGAGGGAGGAACAGAGAAAGAGAUAGGUAGAUAGAUAGAUGGAUAGAUAGAUAGAUAGAUAGAGAGAUGUUAGAGACUAACACAAAAGCAAAUAGCAUUUAAUUGUGUUUAAACCCUAAUCAAGGUUACAGAGAAAGAAAGUUUGUAUCACAGUGGAACUCGAUGCUGGUAGACUCUCUGGCCACUGUUUCUUUUAUAUGCUUCCUGAUGAAGCCUCUGGAUGAAAGCUUGUUAGUCACAGAACAAGAACUGGAUAUCAUAGGAAAACUGACAGUUGUCAGAUGGAGAAAGAUAGGAGUUUGAAGGGGGUUGAUACUAUGAUUCAGUGGGCAUGAGGUCUUGCUGCCAGGCCUCAUUACUGGAGUUCUAUUCUGGCACCCAGGUGAUAGAGAGAACCAACUGGAAGUACUUUGAUUCAUUAGGUAAAGGACUGUAGAAACCAGAUUGUAACCCAUCUGAAGUAGCACUUAAAAACCAGACUCUAACAUGUUAGCUCAGAUGCUCACCGACUCUGUUAUUCAUUUAAUUGUAAGCUCUAAACAUGGAAGUACAUAUGUCUAUCAAGAAGGAACAAAAAAGGAAGGCUUUAUAAAAGUUACAAACUUCUGAGAGAGUUAGAAUUUUCUUUUUCUGUUUUCCCCUAGGUAGUACUUAUAGUGAAUAGCAAAAAAGUAAAAGAGGAUUAAAAUACAGUUUUAAGUGGUAAGAAAACAUUUUCUAAGACUGAUCAGUUCUCUAAUUUUGAGUGCUUUGUGAUGAAGUACUGUAAAUAUCUUAUUUGUAGUUUAUUGAUUGGGAGAUUUAACAGGGUUCACAUUCCUAAUCCUGUGAAUAUGAUUAUCUUACAGUGACAGUGAGAUGAGUCUGUGUUGAUGGAGGUUUCUGUCUCACGUGGUCCCACAGCCAUUCAAUCUCAAUGAAGCACACAGAGGCCCACAUUAAUUAUAAACUGGUUGGCCUAUUAGCUCAGGCUUCUUGUUAAGUAACUCUUACAUCUUAAAUUAACAUAAUUCUUGUCUGUGUUACUUAUGUGGCUCUGUACCUUAAGUCAGUGAGGCAUUCUCAUCUUGCUUCCUCUGUGUCUGGGUGACAACUGCAGACUGAAUUCUCCAGAAUUCUCCUGUUCUGGUUGCCCCACCUAUACUUCCUGCCUGGCUACUGACCAAUCAGUGUUUUAUUAAACCAUUACAAGUGACAAAUCUUUACAGGGUACAGGACCAUUGUCCCACAGUAGGUCUGUCCUGGUUUGAGUCUUUGUUGCUGUGACCUGGGGAGGAAAGGGCUUAUGUGACUUACACUUCCAGGUAACAGUCCACUACUGAGGAGCUCAAUCAAGAACCUGGACACAGGGACUGAAGCAGAACCAUAGAGGAAGGUGCUUAUAUGAAUUGCUUUCUUAUAUAACCCAGGAUCACUUCCCCAGGUAUGGCAUCACCUGCAGUGGACUGAGGCCUUCCUUUUCAAUUAUUAAUCAGUAAUAUGCUCCCACAACCAUGCUCACAGGCUAAUGUGAGGAAGGCAAUUCCUUAAUUGAGGCUUUCUCUUCACAUGUGACUUGAGUUUAUGUCAAGUAGACAUAAACUAGUAUGGGAUAAUUAUAUAAUUCCUAAAAUUCUUCCCAUUGUGUUCUUAAGAAACUAAAACAGAAUUGAAGGCCCUCAGCUUUACACAUCACAUUUUUCAUUAUGUCAGUAUAUUUGGUUUGACUAAAAUCUGUAUAGACACGUACUUGCUUGGGAUUACAAGGACCAAGAGAAAUAUUGUUAAGUGUUCUGGAACUAGAUGUUGGUAGUCACAAUUAUAUUGGCGUACAUCAGUGAUCUGGUGCCUCUGGAUUUUUUCUCAAUUUUAAGAUGUAAAAGAAGUAAAGAAAAACAUUCUCAACACAUUAAAAAUCAGGAACAGUGGACAUUUCAUAGCGAGAUCUUAGAUUCAUGGGAGUUAGUUAUCACAGUGGUAUAAUUUAACCUAUUUUUAUUUUUUUUCCAAAAUUUCCUCAGUCAAUAGUGUUUUCUAUCCUGGGAUGGUUCUUUUUAGAAAUAAUUCAUUUCACCACAAUGGUUCCCUUAUUCUUUAAAAUAAUCACUAUAUGACUUAAAACAAGAAUCCAGGAAAAGACAAGCCAUUAAAAUGACAGUUAUGAGUAAAGAUGCUUGCAUUAAAUUAGAAUCUUGCCAACAUAAAAAAAUAUCUGCCCCAAAUUAAAGACUCCAUAUGCCUUCCCAGUCUGGUUCUGUCUGAGGUGAGACUCACUGUGUGGUCACAGCUGCAGUGCUCUUAUCUUUGCUUCAGGAUUAUUUCCUCACGCAUAUUUAGAAAUUUGUGAUCAUCUUAUUUUUAAGACACAGAAUGUAGGGCUGGAAUUGAGAUAAAAUCAUAAUGUGUUCCUUAGGAUCUUUAUCUGUGUCAAAUGGACUAUCAGAAUGAAGACCAACAGAACAAUACACAUUGUGGAAUGUAAUUGGGGUAGUGCUCUGUUUGUAAUUUGAGGUAAAAUUUGUCCAUGUACCAAAUUGUGACAUCAUAGUCUUAUGUUGUGACAUCUCAACUCUGAAUUAUGACAAAAUAAUAUUCCAUUGUGACAUCACAGUGUACCAUUAUAUCACCACCAUACUGAAUCAUUGCAUUAAAAUGCACAUUCUAAAAUCAAUUUUGACAUUGUAAUAUUCCAUUGUGACAAAAUAGCACUUCAUAAUGACAUCACCUUCUUGCAUUUUGAUAUCAUAGCUCUCUACUAUGAUAUCAUAAUGCCACAGUGUGGUACCCAAUACUCCAUUUGUGUGUUACAAUGCUCCCCUGAUAGGCCACAAACUCCAUUGUGUCAUCACAGUGCUUGAUGUUGUCAUGACAUCCUUGACACCAUCACCGUGGUCUAUUGUGAUGUGAAAGUACUGCAUUAUGACAUCACAAAGGUGUGUGUCUAUACGUCACAGCGUUUGAGUGUGACGUAAGACACCACUGCCAUCACAGUAUUGCAUUGUGCGACCCCACCCCGUACCAUGUCAUCACAGUAUAUAAUGGUUCUAUAUUGUGACCAUGAACUGCUCCAGUUGGGACACAUCAAUGCUCCAUAGUGAUAACACAAUGCCACCUUGGGACCUCAUGACGCUGAGUCAUGUAACACAAUGUUUCAUUGCCACACCGCAAAUGGCUUGAGACUCACAACACUGCCCUGAUGAGACAAAACACUUCAUUCUUACAUCACAGUGCACCAUUCUGUAUCCAAACGUCCCACCUAACAAGAGCACACAGCAAUAGGCUAAGCUAGGUGCUCUUCAGCAUCUGACCCAAUCCACUCUGUAGAGCAGCAACGAGGACAGACAGCAGUCCUGAGAGUGAAUAUGUGAGCUGCUGACAGCAUCAUCCUUCAGUUAGUGUGGAGGUCCUCUGGCUACCCUAAAGCAUUUUCAUAUCAGUGUUUGAAAUCUAAGGUAAAUAAAUAAGGUAGAAUGAUUUCGUUAGAAGGCUCUUCCAUUCUGAACACCUGGAGCACUAGUUCUUUCAUGGGUCUCUGGUAAAUAACUUGUGGAAAUUAGCUGGAUUUGUUAUUUGUUUAUUUGAAAAUUAUAUAUGUAUACUUCAUGUUUCCUAUAUAUGUAUAUAUCUACAUAUACAUAUAUACACACACACAUAUUCUGAUUAUGGUUUUCCCUGCCUCUACUCUUCCCAGAUCCUCCCCACCUUCCAUCUCAUUUGAAUCCACCCCCUUUCUGUCUCUCAUAAGAAAACAAAUAGGCAUGGAAAGAAUGAUAAUAAAAUAAAAUAGAAUAGAGUAAGAUAAAAAAGAAAUAAGCCAGGAUAGGACCAAACAAAUAAACAAACAAAAGAGCUCAAGAAAAGGAGCAAGAAACAGCUAUAGACCCAGAGGACCAUCCAUUCACACAUUCAGACAUCUCACAAAACCACUAAACUGGAAGCCAUAUGUAUGCAAAGCAACUGUGGGGUAAAAUUUAAAACAUGAGCGUGGUGGUAGCGCACGCCUUUAAUCCCAGCACUCGGGAGGCAGAGGCAGGCGGAUCUCUGGGAGUUCAAGGCUAGCCUGGUCCUCCAGGGCCAGCUCUACUGUGUUGCCCAGGUGAGGUGAAGGGCCCACUCUCCUAUGUGCUGAACUUGGUGAGGGGCAGUAAGGCCAGUUCUCCCGUUCACCUGACCUUAGCACCAGCUCUUCUGCACUGCAAAAGGCAGUGAGGGGGCGGGAAGGGAGGGCGUCCCUCCCUUGCCCAUACCACCACAUGUCAGAUGAGGGGCAGAACCAGACCACCCUCGUCCAGCUCACCUGCGUCCCACAUCUACAGGGUCAGCUCUACUGUGCUGCCCAGGUAAGGUGUAGGGUAUGCUCUUCCUAGUACUGCUGCCUGUGAGGGGCAGGACCAAUUCUCCCUGGUGUUGCAUCCAGUAAGGGGCUGGGCCAGCUCGGUGCAGCCCUAUUCUACAGCUUUUGGUGAUAACAGGAGACAGGGCUGCAGCAGGACCAUGGGAUCAAGACGUGAGCCUUGGCAGUAACCCAGACCUGGAUAUCACCAUGGCUCCAGGAAAAAGCAAAUAACCCACCUUAGCUGUCUCCUCACUGCCUUCACCUUUUCAGAUCUGACUCUUGCCACACAACACGAACCACUGUUUCUCUUGCUUUCUCUCACAGGCAGUUGGACCUCUGUGAGUUCAAGAUCACCCUGGACUAAACAAGAUCAAUGCGUGGACAGAUCCAGUUUGCUUAUUUGUUGGAUUAAAUUUAUCAGUUUAUGAAUGUUGAGCCACCACUACAUCCCUAGGAUGAAGCCUAUUUGUGAAUGGGACUAUCAAAUGCCAUGUGCCAUUUCCUCACAGUAAUAAACAACUUCAGAGAUACCCUCCACUAGAAGCUGUGACAUUUGG